rnacentral:ncRNA from 1 species
UGUCUCCUCCAUAUCCACCGAUAUGGAUUCAGCCCGCUCGACUGAGCGGGUUCUUUCUU